UAAUUAAAUGUCAAUUGUACUAUUUUCCAAAUUUACUAUUUACUUUUUUCUUUUGCGCUCCAGUACCUACAGGUAGCCAACCAGGUAAUAAGCGUUCAUCCAAUGGGCAUAUAGGAAUGAUUACUAAUUUUUAAUUUAGGUACUUAAUUUCUACGAUGAUGAAUAAAAAAGAAACACUUUUAUGGAUUUUACUCUAACGUGUAUUUCGGCUGUAAUGAUAUCAUCAAAGAGUUAAGAUUCUCAACUGGAGUUAUUAGCACUUUGACGAUGGAUAUUUUAGGGUGAAAUCUAAAAAAUAAUUUAGUGAAACAUAUAAACCAAGCAAGCAAGGUUUCUUUUUUAUUCAUCGUAUUCAUUCAUAGUAUUAAAAAGCGAUCGUCUUCGGCUUACCACAAUUUCGACUAUUACAUAAUGUCGUUCUCGUCCAACACGAAUUACGCCACUGUUGCCACCACAUUUACAAUGCUUAACGGCACACAGGAUUUCUUUUCAUAUUCCAUUCUCAAUUUACAUUUUGUCGUUUUAAUGUUUUUUUUCAAUUACGAAAUUUCAUUUAUUUUACUGCUGCACAUCUAAAAUCUUAGUUCUUUCAAAGCAAAUAUACAUGUCACAAAUUAGAAAUACAUAACUUUCGAAUUUUAUCACUGGGUGCCUACAUAAAUUUCGUUAAGCUUAAAAUCAAGGAGUGGGAAUAUAAGUAUGUUGGUAAUGAAGUAAGUACGUACUACCACCCUAUCAGUGGGUGGGGUAUCAAUAAUAUAUUAUAUGUUUUACCUUUUACUAAUCUUGUAUCUUCGAUUCUGUUUCAGCAUGACCGGUAAGUGAAGUACUUUACAUCCAACCAAAUAUCUUUUUAAACGAUGAUACUAACAAUUUUACCUAUUUUCUUUUUCAGGUUUCCGUGGGUCAAUCUUUCUCUUCUCGCUUGGGAAGAGAAAGAAGAACAUCGAUCGAUUAAAACAACCAAACAUGAUCACACAUAUCGUUAACAUCGCGAUCGAAGUGUAUCCGUCACGUUAUUGUUUAGUUGGGGUGUUCGUUGUUUGAUGAAAACAUUUAUUCUCCAUCCUCUUGAAAACCAUAAAUAUCUCCUUUUAAUAUUGUCGUGGUUCUGUUGUCUCGACUUCGUUAUCUCCACUCUUCUUCGUUAGAAAAUCAUAAUGAUAGGUAUCAGUCUUGGAGGCAACAGUCUGCUCACUUCAAUACAAACUUGGCGGAGGGUCAAUUUUUUGCGGUAUUUGCGAUCCAUCCCAAUGGGACUUUUAGCGCAAUGGCAAGUGAAACCCACAACACCCAAAUGUUUCGUUAGUGGUUUUCCCUUUUCAUUUUUCGUGUCGUUUUCGGAUCGAGUGAAAUGCGGGUUGGUGUUAGUGUUAAUAGGAAGAAGAUUCGUGUCCGCAGAGACACCAGGACAAUAAAUGUGCCUUAGGGCAUGUACAGGUACACGUUUGAGAGUAUGUUUUAGGAACAUGAAGCAAAUAGAAUAGAAUAGAUCCCUGGAGUUGUACGAUUACAGUUUAGAUGAUCGCGACGAGGACGAUAAAAAAAUAGCACGUCGAAGAUAAAUUCCUACCUAUUAUUCAUGUUGAGGUUUUGAUUUUGGUGUUGGUGCUAAUAGGAAGAAAGCUAGUGUCCGCAGAGACACCAGGUCUAUAAGCACAAGAAGUAAUGUGCCUUCGGGCAUGUACAGGUAUACGUUUGAGAGUAUGUUUUAGGAACCAGAAGUAAAUAGAAACAUGGAGCUGUACGAUUACGAUUUCCAACAUAAUUGGAAUCGCUGUUUACUCUAAUUUAAUUUGUGUCUUUGGUUUUAAGUUCUUUUCAGUCCCUGAAGGAGAUAACUCCGUUACCCAAUAGUCCUUCAGACGCUAAGCAUCACAUGCUGGCGUUAGGGUUUGAGCUGUUUAAAGUAGUUCAGAAACAUGGUACAUAGGUAUAUGGUCUAUAUUUGGCGAUAAAGUAAAAACUGAAAACAUGGUACCUAUUACGCAAGUUGAGAACCGCAAGGGUAUUAUGGAAUUGCGGGGGUGAUGGAGCAUGGAAUAUUUUACUGCCUAGAACUGUUCGUCAUAAUUUCCUUUUUUUUUGUUAGGGUCCGAAAUGUCGAAGUAAUCGACAAAUAAACCGUUCAAAAGAUUACAGGGAUGUUAAAGAGGACAUCAACAAACCAAAACAUUACAUUGGUUGCUGCCACCAAGUUAAAUUACAGCCGAUGGGACGCCUUAAGCCGUUUGGUUGUUUGCUUCACCCGCUGGGUGUUUUUAAUUCUUUUUAACUAACCUUUUGUCUGAACAUCCAUUUCACAGGUACGAAAAACACGUUGAGGCCCGCAAAACAGUUGAUGAGUUUGCGGGGGUGGUGGAGGGUCUCAACGCACUAGGAGGAGUUGAUGAUGGUUCUAAAAUGUAAAGUUAUCAAGAGAACCAUCGAUUUGUAAGUCCCAUGUAUGCCAUUACCACUACCGUCCCAGGAGUGUCUCCACCAGUUGGGAGGAUGAUCAGGUUUAGUUCAAUGAAUGGGAAGAAUUAUGAGAAAGAAUCGAACGUGGAAUUAUGAGAGAAUGUGUUGAGGCCCGCAAAACAGUUGAUGAGUUUGCGGGGGUGGUGGGGGGUUCUCAACCAACCAGGAG